AGCUUUGCGCAGUGGCAGUAUCAUAGCCAAUGAGGCUUAUCCGAGGCGCGAUUAUUGCUAAAAGAAU
rnacentral:snRNA from 1 species